GAUGAACGCUGGCGGCGUGCCUAAUACAUGCAAGUCGAGCGAACGGACGAGAAGCUUGCUUCUCUGAUGUUAGCGGCGGACGGGUGAGUAACACGUGGAUAACCUACCGAUAAGACUGGGAUAACUUCGGGAAACCGGAGCUAAUACCGGAUAAUAUUUUGAACCGCAUGGUUCAAAAGUGAAAGACGGUCUUGCUGUCACUUAUAGAUGGAUCCGCGCUGCAUUAGCUAGUUGGUAAGGUAACGGCUUACCAAGGCAACGAUGCAUAGCCGACCUGAGAGGGUGAUCGGCCACACUGGAACUGAGACACGGUCCAGACUCCUACGGGAGGCAGCAGUAGGGAAUCUUCCGCAAUGGGCGAAAGCCUGACGGAGCAACGCCGCGUGAGUGAUGAAGGUCUUCGGAUCGUAAAACUCUGUUAUUAGGGAAGAACAUAUGUGUAAGUAACUGUGCACAUCUUGACGGUACCUAAGCAGAAAGCCACGGCUAACUACGU
rnacentral:rRNA from 1 species